UCCUACGGGGCGCAGCAGUGGGGAAUAUUGCGCGAUGGGCGAAAGCCUGACGCAGCGACGCCGCGUGAGGGAUGGAGGUCUUCGGAUCGUAAACCUCUGUCAGCAGGGAAGAACGGUCACUGUGCUAAUCAGCAGUGAAUUGACGGUACCUGCAAAGGAAGCACCGGCUAACUCCGUGCCAGCAGCCGCGGUAAUACGGAGGGUGCGAGCGUUAAUCGGAAUUACUGGGCGUAAAGCGCUCGUAGGCGGUAUGUCAAGUCAAGGGGGAAAUCCCCGCGCUCAACGUGGGAACUGCCUUUGAAACU
rnacentral:rRNA from 1 species